GUACAGUCUUUGCCUCAAUCACCUCACAUAGAGUAAGAGUGGUCAACAUUGUCUCCCCUGGAUGUAGGUGGCCUUGGAUCUAGCUGACCUUUGCUGUAGUCCGAUGUAGUGGUUGGUUAUCUGGUAGUGAUGCAGGAACUUGGACCUCAGCCACCAGGAGUUUGAGUCGGAACCAGAGCAUACGUAGGAAUGACGGGCACACUUAGAGCAGUCUCCAUCAUAACAAGCCACAGUCGCAUCCAGGACACUUGGUCAGUGUCGGUGUUUGGUUUCGGUCGUAGCAGCCGUGGAGCUCUGGAGAAUCCCUCACAGUCAGGGGUGGUUAGUGUUGAGCCGUCUGCAGACAUCUUGGUCACCAGAGAGAACUCGUCAGUGUUCAUCCGUGAAGUGGAAGGCUGUAUUUCAGGUUCAUUGUCAUCGGAAGAGGACACAGGCAGUUUCAAGUCUUUGUUCCAGGGAGUAUAACCCUUCUGGAAAUGUGUUUUCUUGCGAGAUUUUUCACCUUUUUUUUUCAUGGUUGUUUGGAUCAGUAAUGAAGCAAAUAGUGUUAUGAAUAGUGUGGCUAAAAAUUACCAUAUUUAUAGUGAAAACCUGUGUAUUAGACAGAAUAAGACAUGUGUGGCAUUUUUGGCAGGACACAGGACCCCGUAUAUUGAAAUAGGCCUCUGUGACAAGAGGUGUGAACGAGAAAAUUGUGAAUUCAAUUGGGAGAAAUGACAUUCUUUAAGGAGCUGUAUAUUGUACAGUGUUUGACAUGAACCCUAAAGUUGCCUGUCACUUAAUGGGCAUACAAGUGUUCUUUAAAAUGACACAAUAUAUUGAAUAUACAGGUUUUCUGAUUAUUUGCUGACUUUUGACAUUUGACUGUAAUGAUAAAAAAAAGUGGGUUCUUUUUUUCAGAAAGAUACUUUCUGGCAGAAUUUAACAUAUGCAUUAAAUCAUGUGUGUUUUCAGAUUACCAUGAAUGCAGAAAGAACAGCAUUUUUUAUUUCAUUCAAUUAUUCCUACUUUUAAAGAAGAUAUUGCAAUUUUAGUUUUUACAAUGCUGAAAUUGUCAUUCUCAGAAUUGUAGCAAAAAUAAUGUUUUCACCUGUCAUAGCUAUAUUGCUGGCAUUUUUCAUAUGCAUGAGUUAGAAUGUCCAAACUUCACCGGUUGUUUGCUGAUAUAUUAGAUAUGAACACCACGAAAUAUUAUUUGGGUUCGGCAAAGAUUUUGAGUUAAAUAGGUAAUAAGGUACAGUUACCUGCCCUUCGUUACCCAACUAAAGGAAAUGUAUCCGAGAGAAAAGAGGUCCCUCAUUUCAUGAUGGAUUUGAUUGUAAAUAGAUACCCUGAGCUUCUGAAAGUAGUCAAAUUUUAUAGAUCUGAUGUAAAUGAAGAGAAAGUGGUAAAACAUUGCUGGAAAAUCAUGUUUUUUUUUGGCAAAUGACUGUCUGCGGAUUUGUACAAAAAGUAGGCUGAACCGCUUCACUUUGUAAAAAUGCAAUACACUAUUCAUUCUGACAGAUGUGAGGAGAAAAGUAGCAGGUCAACAGGUCACUUAAAAGUGAUUUUUGUGUUUCUCUCGGAUAGAUUUCUAAAGAGAAGGUAUUUGCAUUUGUCUUCAGAACAUUGUGUCAAAGCCUUGCAUUGAUAUAUUUGUAUGUAACCCUAUGGGAAAUUAAUUGUACUUUUGGG